AUUGAACGCUGGCGGCAGGCCUAACACAUGCAAGUCGAGCGGAUGAGUGGAGCUUGCUCCAUGAUUCAGCGGCGGUCGGGUGAGUAAUGCCUAGGAAUCUGCCUGGUAGCGGGGGACAACGUUUCGUAAGGAACGCUAAUACCGCAUACGUCCUACGGGAGAAAGCAGGGGACCUUCGGGCCUUGCGCUAUCAGAUGAGCCUACGUCGUAUUAGCUAGUAGUUGAGGUAAUGGCUCACCUAGGCGACGAUCCGUAACUGGUCUGAGAGGAUGAUCAGUCACACUGGAACUGAGACACGGUCCAGACUCCUACGGGAGGCAGCAGUGGGGAAUAUUGGACAAUGGGCGAAAGCCUGAUCCAGCCAUGCCGCGUGUGUGAAGAAGGUCUUCGGAUUGUAAAGCACUUUAAGUUGGGAGGAAGGGCAGUAAGUUAAUACCUUGCUGUUUUGACGUUACCAAUAGAAUAAGCACCGGCUAACUUCGUGCCAGCAGCCGCAGUAAGAC
rnacentral:rRNA from 1 species